GGGGGAGCGCCCUGCGGCCUCGGCUCCGCUCCGGUUCGCCUGGCCGCGCGCGGGCUUCUGGGAGGUGUAGUCCGGCCUUGUCCGCGCAGGCGCACCGCGGCCUGGAGGGCCUAGCGGGUGGGUCAUUGUCCUGGCACGUUUCGCAGUUUUCAGUGGCCCCCUGGACUGGUGUGAGCAGAAGCUGUGUGCUGUGAACAGGGAGGCGCAGACCAAAUGGCCGGCCAGCUCUGUUGGUCCCGCAGGACGGUCCUCUUCCCCUGAUGAUCGUGUCCCGGUGGAGAGAUGGCUGCUCAGCUGCCGACCGACGUACCGCUGGUCGUCCAGCUGCGCUGAAGGCAUGAUCCAGAUUUCCACAGCCACUCUGGAAGCUUCUCUGGAAGAGGCAGAGCAAAUGCAGCUGGGCAGCCCACGAUGGAGCCGGGAUCCUGCCUGGGAGAAGAGGGCUUCUGCAGGGACUCCGUGUACUGCCAUCUCCAAGUCCUGUUCCCUGGGGAGCUCACAGGUCCUGGGGUGGGGAGUGACUGGGUUUGACGACUGUUCUUGACGCCGUUCCUUGCCCGAGGAAGAGUGUGGUGUGUACAGUGUGGGAACGAGGCGUCUCGGCCUUCCUGCCCUAGUGGGCCUGGGGAACGUCGCCCAUCUCGUGUGACAGUGCCAGAUGUGUCAGCUGAUGUCG
rnacentral:lncRNA from 1 species